CCCACUACUGGGUAUAAACAAAUUACAUCAGAGCAUUAUGACUUAAUGCCACAUAUAUCAGAAGCCCAUAUCGAAUGAUAUUUUCAAUACAGACAAGCAGUUGACAGGCAAAUGAUGGGCAAUACAAAGGCGAUUGUGAAAAGAAAAUUGCUCUUGGAGUCAGAGAGAGUUGAAGCACUGAGUAUUAACUGUCAACAUGAGGACUUUUUUCUUACAGGAUUUGUCAGAGCAGCAAUGAAGAAAAAGGCUCCCCCAUAAAAGCAGAAGACAUGCC